rnacentral:rRNA from 1 species
GACGAACGCUGGCGGCGUGCUUAACACAUGCAAGUCGAACGGAAAGGCCCUGCUUUUGUGGGGUGCUCGAGUGGCGAACGGGUGAGUAACACGUGAGUAACCUGCCCUUGACUUUGGGAUAACUUCAGGAAACUGGGGCUAAUACCGGAUAGGAGCUCCUGCUGCAUGGUGGGGGUUGGAAAGUUUCGGCGGUUGGGGAUGGACUCGCGGCUUAUCAGCUUGUUGGUGGGGUAGUGGCUUACCAAGGCUUUGACGGGUAGCCGGCCUGAGAGGGUGACAGGCCACAUUGGGACUGAGAUACGGCCCAGACUCAUACGGGAGGCAGCAGUGGGGAAUAUUGCAAAAUGGGCGGAAGCCUGAUGCAGCAACGCCGCGUGCGGGAUGACGGCCUUCGGGUUGUAAACCGCUUUCGCCUGUGACGAAGCGUGAGGGACGGUAAUGGGUAAAGAAGCACCGGCUAACUACGU